AUAUAAGCAAAUUUUACUUUUUAGGUUCAUUCAAUUAAUGAUGUAUGUGGUCUAUAAUAUAGACCACAUACAUCAUUAAUUGAAUGAACCUAAAAAGUAAAAUUUGCUUAUAU
rfam:Medicago truncatula strain A17 chromosome 4, whole genome shotgun sequence.